GACGUAGGGCGCGAGCGUUGUCCGGAUUUAUUGGGCGUAAAGAGCUCGUAGGCGGCUCAUUGCGUCAACCGUGAAAACCAGCAGCUCAACUGUUGGCUUGCGGUUGAUACGGGUGGGCUGGAGUUCGGUAGGGGAGACUGGAAUUCCUGGUGUAGCGGUGAAAAUGCGCAGAUAUCAGGAGGAACACCGGUGGCGAAGGCGGGUCUCUGGGCCGAUACUGACGCUGAGGAGCGAAAGCGUGGGGAGCGAACAGG
rnacentral:rRNA from 1 species